rnacentral:rRNA from 1 species
GGGUUGUGAGGUUAAGCGACUAAGCGUACACGGUGGAUGCCCUGGCAGUCAGAGGCGAUGAAGGACGUGCUAAUCUGCGAUAAGCGUCGGUGAGGUGAUAUGAACCGUUAUAACCGGCGAUUUCCGAAUGGGGAAACCCAGUGUGUUUCGACACACUAUCAUUAACUGAAUCCAUAGGUUAAUGAGGCGAACCGGGGGAACUGAAACAUCUAAGUACCCCGAGGAAAAGAAAUCAACCGAGAUUCCCCCAGUAGCGGCGAGCGAACGGGGAGGAGCCCAGAGCCUGAAUCAGUGUGUGUGUUAGUGGAAGCGUCUGGAAAGGCGCGCGAUACAGGGUGACAGCCCCGUACACAAAAAUGCACAUAUUGUGAGCUCGAUGAGUAGGGCGGGACACGUGGUAUCCUGUCUGAAUAUGGGGGGACCAUCCUCCAAGGCUAAAUACUCCUGACUGACCGAUAGUGAACCAGUACCGUGAGGGAAAGGCGAAAAGAACCCCGGCGAGGGGAGUGAAAAAGAACCUGAAACCGUGUACGUACAAGCAGUGGGAGCCUCUUUAUGGGGUGACUGCGUACCUUUUGUAUAAUGGGUCAGCGACUUAUAUUCUGUAGCAAGGUUAACCGAAUAGGGGAGCCGAAGGGAAACCGAGUCUUAACUGGGCGUUAAGUUGCAGGGUAUAGACCCGAAACCCGGUGAUCUAGCCAUGGGCAGGUUGAAGGUUGGGUAACACUAACUGGAGGACCGAACCGACUAAUGUUGAAAAAUUAGCGGAUGACUUGUGGCUGGGGGUGAAAGGCCAAUCAAACCGGGAGAUAGCUGGUUCUCCCCGAAAGCUAUUUAGGUAGCGCCUCGUGAAUUCAUCUCCGGGGGUAGAGCACUGUUUCGGCAAGGGGGUCAUCCCGACUUACCAACCCGAUGCAAACUGCGAAUACCGGAGAAUGUUAUCACGGGAGACACACGGCGGGUGCUAACGUCCGUCGUGAAGAGGGAAACAACCCAGACCGCCAGCUAAGGUCCCAAAGUCAUGGUUAAGUGGGAAACGAUGUGGGAAGGCCCAGACAGCCAGGAUGUUGGCUUAGAAGCAGCCAUCAUUUAAAGAAAGCGUAAUAGCUCACUGGUCGAGUCGGCCUGCGCGGAAGAUGUAACGGGGCUAAACCAUGCACCGAAGCUGCGGCAGCGACACUAUGUGUUGUUGGGUAGGGGAGCGUUCUGUAAGCCUGUGAAGGUGGCCUGUGAGGGUUGCUGGAGGUAUCAGAAGUGCGAAUGCUGACAUAAGUAACGAUAAAGCGGGUGAAAAGCCCGCUCGCCGGAAGACCAAGGGUUCCUGUCCAACGUUAAUCGGGGCAGGGUGAGUCGACCCCUAAGGCGAGGCCGAAAGGCGUAGUCGAUGGGAAACAGGUUAAUAUUCCUGUACUUGGUGUUACUGCGAAGGGGGGACGGAGAAGGCUAUGUUGGCCGGGCGACGGUUGUCCCGGUUUAAGCGUGUAGGCUGGUUUUCCAGGCAAAUCCGGAAAACCAAGGCUGAGGCGUGAUGACGAGGCACUACGGUGCUGAAGCGACAAAUGCCCUGCUUCCAGGAAAAGCCUCUAAGCAUCAGGUAACAUCAAAUCGUACCCCAAACCGACACAGGUGGUCAGGUAGAGAAUACCAAGGCGCUUGAGAGAACUCGGGUGAAGGAACUAGGCAAAAUGGUGCCGUAACUUCGGGAGAAGGCACGCUGAUAUGUAGGUGAAGCGACUUGCUCGUGGAGCUGAAAUCAGUCGAAGAUACCAGCUGGCUGCAACUGUUUAUUAAAAACACAGCACUGUGCAAACACGAAAGUGGACGUAUACGGUGUGACGCCUGCCCGGUGCCGGAAGGUUAAUUGAUGGGGUUAGCGGUAACGCGAAGCUCUUGAUCGAAGCCCCGGUAAACGGCGGCCGUAACUAUAACGGUCCUAAGGUAGCGAAAUUCCUUGUCGGGUAAGUUCCGACCUGCACGAAUGGCGUAAUGAUGGCCAGGCUGUCUCCACCCGAGACUCAGUGAAAUUGAACUCGCUGUGAAGAUGCAGUGUACCCGCGGCAAGACGGAAAGACCCCGUGAACCUUUACUAUAGCUUGACACUGAACAUUGAGCCUUGAUGUGUAGGAUAGGUGGGAGGCUUUGAAGUGUGGACGCCAGUCUGCAUGGAGCCGACCUUGAAAUACCACCCUUUAAUGUUUGAUGUUCUAACGUUGGCCCGUAAUCCGGGUUGCGGACAGUGUCUGGUGGGUAGUUUGACUGGGGCGGUCUCCUCCUAAAGAGUAACGGAGGAGCACGAAGGUUGGCUAAUCCUGGUCGGACAUCAGGAGGUUAGUGCAAUGGCAUAAGCCAGCUUGACUGCGAGCGUGACGGCGCGAGCAGGUGCGAAAGCAGGUCAUAGUGAUCCGGUGGUUCUGAAUGGAAGGGCCAUCGCUCAACGGAUAAAAGGUACUCCGGGGAUAACAGGCUGAUACCGCCCAAGAGUUCAUAUCGACGGCGGUGUUUGGCACCUCGAUGUCGGCUCAUCACAUCCUGGGGCUGAAGUAGGUCCCAAGGGUAUGGCUGUUCGCCAUUUAAAGUGGUACGCGAGCUGGGUUUAGAACGUCGUGAGACAGUUCGGUCCCUAUCUGCCGUGGGCGCUGGAGAACUGAGGGGGGCUGCUCCUAGUACGAGAGGACCGGAGUGGACGCAUCACUGGUGUUCGGGUUGUCAUGCCAAUGGCACUGCCCGGUAGCUAAAUGCGGAAGAGAUAAGUGCUGAAAGCAUCUAAGCACGAAACUUGCCCCGAGAUGAGUUCUCCCUGACUCCUUGAGA